ACCAGCCGAUGCAAUUCCUAGACAUCUACCAUCUCUUUUCAGCAAAGAAAGAUCUGAACCAAAGUAGUCAUAAAAGAUGAAGGCAUUAUUGAUACAUCAACAACACAGGUACCUAAUUCUCGUUUAUAUUGGAUAUCAACAGCAAUCGUCUCUCUUCAUAAAGAACAUUUCAUCGGACCAAAACAGGUCAUAGCACACCAAAAUUGGAUCAAAACACAGAGACAAAAAACAA